GAAUUGUUCGCAAUGGGCGCAAGCCUGACGACGCAACGCCGCGUGGAGGAUGAAGAUCUUCGGGUCGUAAACUCCCGUCGACCGGGACGAAUGCCGCGUGGGUGAAUAACCUGCGCGGGUGACGGUACCGGUGGAGGAAGCCCCGGCUAACUCCGUGCCAGCAGCCGCGGUAAUACGGGGGGGGCAAGCGUUGUUCGGAAUUACUGGGCGUAAAGGGCUCGUAGGCGGCCAACUCAGUCGGACGUGAAAGCCCUCGGCUUAACCGGGGAACGGCGUCCGAUACUGGUUGGCUUGAAUCCGGGAGAGGGAUGUGGAAUUCCAGGUGUGGCGGUGAAAUGCGUAGAUAUCUGGAGGAACACCGGUGGCGAAGGCGACAUCCUGGACCGGCAUUGACGCUGAGGCGCGAAAGCCAGGGGAGCAAAC
rnacentral:rRNA from 1 species